AUUGAACGCUGGCGGCAUGCUUUACACAUGCAAGUCGAACGGUAACAGGCCGCAAGGUGCUGACGAGUGGCGAACGGGUGAGUAAUGCAUCGGAACGUGCCCAGUCGUGGGGGAUAACUAAUCGAAAGAGUAGCUAAUACCGCAUACGAUCUAUGGAUGAAAGCGGGGGACCGUAAGGGCUCGAGCGAUUGGAGCGGCCGAUGUCAGAUUAGGUAGUUGGUGGGGUAAAGGCUCACCAAGCCAACGAUCUGUAGCUGGUCUGAGAGGACGACCAGCCACACUGGGACUGAGACACGGCCCAGACUCCUACGGGAGGCAGCAGUGGGGAAUUUUGGACAAUGGGCGCAAGCCUGAUCCAGCAAUGCCGCGUGCAGGAAGAAGGCCUUCGGGUUGUAAACUGCUUUUGUACGGAACGAAACGGCUCUGGUUAAUACCCGGGGCUAAUGACGGUACCGUAAGAAUAAGCACCGGCUAACUACGUG
rnacentral:rRNA from 1 species